GACCUGUGCCGUUGGGGCCAUAGUUUCCAGCGAGAAAUCUGGCCAAGAUUUCCAGAUAGCGUCCACAUCAUCCAUCUGUUCACACUCUCACUCAACAAAUAUAUCCUGAACUGUUACUAUGAACGAAGUGCAAAAAUGAGAUGGAGCUUGAUUCCCUUCCCUUUGGCUGUGGAUGGGACCUAGCAAAUUGUUUCUAACAAAGAGAAGAUGACGUAAGUGAAGGUUUGCAACUUCCUCGAGACCGGGUCACAGGAGGCAUCCUGACUUCCUCCUCAUUCUCUCUUGGAUCACUGGCUCUGGGGGAAUGCACUGACAUGCUGUGAGGAUGCUCAAACAGCUCUGUGGAGGACCUAUGCGGCAGGGACUGAGGCUUCCUGCCAGUAGCCAUGGUUAGGAAGUGGACUCCCCACCUCCAUCAAGCCUUUAGAGGACUUAGCCCCAGACGGCGACAAGUUGUCUGUAACUUCAGGAGAGACCCUGCGCCAGAAGCACACAGCCAAUCUACUCCUAAAUUCCUGUCCCACAGAAAAGCCCGUGUUGCACGGACUUGUCUCCACCAGGACUCAGCUCCCUUUGCUCUGGUGGCAGUCAGGGCAAUGAAGUGGCACCAACUCAUCGUCAGCUCCUGGAUGGUGAGGAUGAAGCUAAGAACUUGAUGGUGACCUUUUAAAAAAUUUAAGCCCCAGUAUUACAUCUUCUUAGGGAAUUGGAAACAGUCAGAUUUAAACUUAAGCCCUGAUAUGGUUUGGCUGUGUUCCCAUACAAAUCUCAUCUUGAAUUGUACUCCCAUAAUUUCCACGUGUUGUGGGAGAGACCCAGUGGGAGAUCAUUUGAAUCAUGAUGGUGGUUCCCCCAUACUAUUCUUGUGGUAGUGGGCGGGUCUCACGUGAUCUGAUGGUUUUAUCAGGGUUUUCUGCUUUUGCAUCUUCCUCAUUUUUUCUCUUGCUGCCACCAUGUAAGAAGUGCCUUUUGCCUCCUGCUAUGAUUCUGAGACCUCCCCAGCCACAUAGAACUGUCAGUACAAGUAAACCUCUUUUUCUUCCCGGCCUCAGGUAUGUCUUUAUCAGCAGUGUGAAAACAGACUAAUACAAGCCCUAAGUCUUUUUUUUUUUUUUUUAAUUGAGACGGAGUUUCAAUCUUGUUACCCAGGCUCACGAUCUCGGCUCACCGCAACCUCCGCCUCCUGGGUUCAGGCAAUUCUCUUGCCUCAGCCUCUUGAGUAGCUGGGAUUACAGGCAUGCGCCACCGUGCCCAGCUAAUUUUUUGUAUUUUUAGUAGAGACGGGGUUUCACCAUGUUGACCAGGAUGGUCUCGAUCUGUUGACCUCGUGAUCCACCCACCUCGGCCUCCCAAAGUGCUGGGAUUACAGGCUUGAGCCACCGUGCCCGGCCCAAGCCCUAAGUCUUUUAAAAAGCCACAUCCAAGAAGAUUUUUUUUUUAAAAAAUCACUAUUAUGAAAAACUCCUGCUCCCCUCUCCUCUAGCAUGGAAGGUGGAGACAGCAUAUUAUUUUGAACAACUGGAGAAUUGUUCAGAUAAUUAGCGUGGAAGUCAUCUUGCAGUAGUGCUGGCCCCAUUUUAGGCAACUACACCUAUGUGGUCGUUAUUUCUGCAAGGUGUGUGGCUUGUGUGAAAACUCUGACAUAACACUUUCCAU
rnacentral:lncRNA from 13 species